rnacentral:rRNA from 1 species
GCUUGUCUCAAGAUUAAGCCAUGCAUGUCUAAGUAUAAGUAUUAUACAGCGAAACUGCGAAUGGCUCAUUAAAACAGUUAUGGUUUAUUUGAUAAUCGAAUUUUACAUGGAUAACCGUGGUAAUUCUAGAGCUAAUACAUGCUGGUGUGCCUGACUUUUCGGAAGGGCGGUAUUUAUUAGAUACAGAAUCAAUACGUGUUCUGCACGUUCUAUUGAUGAAUCAUAAUAACUGUUCGAAUCGCACGGGCAACCGGCGAUAGUUCAUUCAAAUUUCUGCCCUAUCAGCUUUCGACGGUAGUGUAGUGGACUACCGUGGCGUUAACGGGUAACGGAGAAUUAGGGUUCGAUUCCGGAGAGGGAGCCUGAGAAACGGCUACCACAUCCAAGGAAGGCAGCAGG